rnacentral:rRNA from 1 species
AGGGCACCACCAGGAGUGGAGCCUGCGGCUUAAUUUGACUCAACACGGGGAAACUCACCCGGCCCGGACACCGUAAGGAUUGACAGAUUGAUAGCUUUUUCAUGAUUCGGUGGAUGGUGGUGCAUGGCCGUUCUUAGUUCGUGGAGCGAUUUGUCUGGUUUAUUCCGAUAGCGAGCGAGACUCUAGCCUACUAAAUAGUUCGCACAUUGUCUCUGUGUGUGUGACUUCUUAGAGGGAUUUUCGGUGUUCAGCCGCACGAAAUUGAGCAAUAACAGGUCUGUGAUGCCCUUAGAUGCCCGGGGCUGCACGCGCGCUACACUGGCAAAAUCAGCGUGCUUGUCCUUCCCCGAAAGGGGUUGGUAAACCCUUGAAAAUUUGCCGUGAUUGGGAUUGGAAAUUGCAAUUAUUUUCCAUGAACGAGGAAUUCCAAGUAAGUGCGAGUCAUCAGCUCGCGUUGAUUACGUCCCUGCCCUUUGUACACACCGCCCGUCGCUGCCCGGGACUGAGCCAUUUCGAGAA